rnacentral:lncRNA from 1 species
UGAAAUCUAAUGUAAGCUUUUCUCUGUGAUAUUGACAGUUCCUCUUUUGUGUUGCCAGAAGGAAAAGUGGGUUUGCCCAAGCAGUAUCAGGUCCUUCCACAGAAAGCGGCUUACAGUACUUCGGGCUCCAACUUGAAUUCUCUUAAACAAGGAAAUGUCCUAGCUCAACAUCAUAAGAACUCUGCGAAUGAGGAGGCUCUCGGUUGGCUGAUUCAGCAGCUCAGUUAACUCACUAAGGACUCGUAUUUUCCCAUCUUCACGCUGACAUCUUUAUGAGGACACUGAGGCACAGGAAGUCAAGAAACCUGCACAAAGCCAUGCAACAACCAGCCGGUAUCUGAGUCAUGGCCAAAGCCCAGAGCCCAGUCUGCCUUCUUGUCUGAGGUCCUUUCGACAGCCUGCAUUGCUUCUCUUCUAGGACAAUCAGGCCCUAGGGAAGGAGGCCACCUGGACAGCACCAUGGCGACACAGAGGGCACCAGAUAUGGGAAAGUUUCUCUCUGAGACCAUGUUUGCUUCUGUUUCUCAAGCCAAGUUAAUUCUCUCCUAGAACAAUGCCAGUUAGAAAUGGGGGAAGCUACUGAAAUACCUUUGGUGGCUUGUCUUGCAUCGAUAUUAUUUUCUCCCACUGAGGAGUUAGAGGGUUUCUGGUUAUGUGCUAUGUAAAUUCUUUGGCUCAUUCUUUUUUUUCCAUCCUUCCCUCCAUGGUCCAUCAGGAAAAUCAUGGUUAAAUGAGUGAGUAAAAGCUUAUGAUUUGCCCGUCCACGUCCCGACUUCCUUCUUCCUUUAGACCUUUUUGUGUGACAUGUAUUUUCUUUGACCCUGAUUUUUUAUUUAUAGCUUCUGCUUUAUUGAAAGCACUCUUGUAAGCUGCCUCUAUUCCUUUGUGGAUUGAAAC